AUUGAACGCUGGCGGCAUGCUUUACACAUGCAAGUCGAACGGCAGCACAGGGAGCUUGCUCCCGGGUGGCGAGUGGCGCACGGGUGAGUAAUACAUCGGAACGUGUCCUGUUGUGGGGGAUAACUGCUCGAAAGGGUGGCUAAUACCGCAUGAGACCUGAGGGUGAAAGCGGGGGAUCGCAAGACCUCGCGCAAUUGGAGCGGCCGAUGCCCGAUUAGCUAGUUGGUGGGGUAAAGGCUCACCAAGGCGACGAUCGGUAGCUGGUCUGAGAGGACGACCAGCCACACUGGGACUGAGACACGGCCCAGACUCCUACGGGAGGCAGCAGUGGGAAUUUUGGACAAUGGGGGCAACCCUGAUCCAGCCAUGCCGCGUGCAGGAUGAAGGCC
rnacentral:rRNA from 1 species